rnacentral:tRNA from 1 species
UGACAACGUGGCCGAGUGGUUAAGGUGACGGACUGCUAAUCCGUUGUGCUCUGCACGCGCAGGUUCGAAUCUGCCAAUUCAA